GGGUGGCAGCAGUGGGGAAUAUUGGACAAUGGGGGCAACCCUGAUCCAGCCAUGCCGCGUGAGUGAUGAAGGCCUUAGGGUUGUAAAGCUCUUUCACCGGUGAAGAUAAUGACGGUAACCGGAGAAGAAGCCCCGGCUAACUUCGUGCCAGCAGCCGCGGUAAUACGAAGGGGGCUAGCGUUGUUCGGAUUUACUGGGCGUAAAGCGCACGUAGGCGGAUAUUUAAGUCAGAGGUGAAAUCCCAGGGCUCAACCCUGGAACUGCCUUUGAUACUGGGUAUCUUGAGUAUGGAAGAGGUGAGUGGAAUUCCGAGUGUAGAGGUGAAAUUCGUAGAUAUUCGGAGGAACACCAGUGGCGAAGGCGGCUCACUGGUCCAUUACUGACGCUGAGGUGCGAAAGCGUGGGGAGCAAACAGGAUUAGAUACCCCUG
rnacentral:rRNA from 1 species